rnacentral:rRNA from 1 species
UACGUAGGAGGCAAGCGUUGUCCGGAAUUACUGGCGUAAGACGCGUGUAGGUGGUGGGACAGUCUGCUGUGAAAGCGCCUGGCUUAACCGGGCGAGGUCGGCGGAAACUGUCCGACUCGAGGACGGUAGAGGGGGGUGGAAUUCCCGGUGUAGUGGUGAAAUGCGUAGAGAUCGGGAGGAACACCUGUGGCGAAGGCGGCCCCCUGGGCCGGCCCUGACACUGAGACGCGAAGGCGUGGGGAGCGGAACGGG